GCGGCAGGCCUAACACAUGCAAGUCGAACGGUAACAGGAAGCAGCUUGCUGCUUUGCUGACGAGUGGCGGACGGGUGAGUAAUGUCUGGGAAACUGCCUGAUGGAGGGGGAUAACUACUGGAAACGGUAGCUAAUACCGCAUAACGUCGCAAGACCAAAGAGGGGGACCUUCGGGCCUCUUGCCAUCGGAUGUGCCCAGAUGGGAUUAGCUAGUAGGUGGGGUAACGGCUCACCUAGGCGACGAUCCCUAGCUGGUCUGAGAGGAUGACCAGCCACACUGGAACUGAGACACGGUCCAGACUCCUACGGGAGGCAGCAGUGGGGAAUAUUGCACAAUGGGCGCAAGCCUGAUGCAGCCAUGCCGCGUGUAUGAAGAAGGCCUUCGGGUUGUAAAGUACUUUCAGCGGGGAGGAAGGGAGUAAAGUUAAUACCUUUGCUCAUUGACGUUACCCGCAGAAGAAGCACCGGCUAACUCCGUGCCAGCAGCCGCGGUAAUACGGAGGGUGCAAGCGUUAAUCGGAAUUGCUGGGCGUAAAGCGCACGCAGGCGGUUUGUUAAGUCAGAUGUGAAAUCCCCGGGCUCAACCUGGGAACUGCAUCUGAUACUGGCAAGCUUGAGUCUCGUAGAGGGGGGUAGAAUUCCAGGUGUAGCGGUGAAAUGCGUAGAGAUCUGGAGGAAUACCGGUGGCGAAGGCGGCCCCCUGGACGAAGACUGACGCUCAGGUGCGAAAGCGCGGGGAGCAAACAGGAUUAGAUACCCUGGUAGUCCACGCCGUAAACGAUGUCGACUUGGAGGUUGUGCCCUUGAGGCGUGGCUUCCGGAGCUAACGUGUUAAGUCGACCGCCUGGGGAGUACGGCCGCAAGGUUAAAACUCAAAUGAAUUGACGGGGGCCCGCACAAGCGGUGGAGCAUGUGGUUUAAUUCGAUGCAACGCGAAGAACCUUACCUGGUCUUGACAUCCACGGAAGUUUUCAGAGAUGAGAAUGUGCCUUCGGGAACCGUGAAACAGGUGCUGCAUGGCUGUCGUCAGCUCGUGUUGUGAAAUGUUGGGUUAAGUCCCGCAACGAGCGCAACCCUUAUCCUUUGUUGCCAGCGGUCCGGCCGGGAACUCAAAGGAAACUGCCAGUGAUAAACUGGAGGAAGGUGGGGAUGACGUCAAGUCAUCAUGGCCCUUACGACCAGGGCUACACACGUGCUACAAUGGCGCAUACAAAGAGAAGCGACCUCGCGAGAGCAAGCGGACCUCAUAAAGUGCGUCGUAGUCCGGAUUGGAGUCUGCAACUCGACUCCAUGAAGUCGGAAUCGCUAGUAAUCGUGGAUCAGAAUGCCACGGUGAAUACGUUCCCGGGCCUUGUACACACCGCCCGUCACACCAUGGGAGUGGGUUGCAAAAGAAGUAGGUAGCUUAACCUUCGGGAGGGCGCUUACCACUUUGUGAUUCAUGACUGGGGUGAAGUCG
rnacentral:rRNA from 1 species